AACGCACCUUGCGCCCUUUGGUAUUCCGAAGGGCAUGCCUGUUUGAGUGUCAUUAAAUCCUCAACUUCAAAUGUUUUUUGAAGCUUGGACUGUGGAGGUCUUGCCGGCAGAAAUGCCAGCUCCUCUUAAAUGCAUUAGCGGAACUUUUUAAAAAAAAAAUAAUGGACCAGCUUUGGUUUGAUAAUCUUAUCUAUGCCGUCGCUGUGGACAUUUAUUUAGUUCAGCUUCUAAUUGUCUUUGGACUGUCUCGUUUUAUGAGGCAUAUACUUUUAAGCUUGACCUCAAAUCAGGUAAGACUACCCGCUGAACUUAA
rnacentral:misc_RNA from 1 species